UAAAGUCGAAAUUCACCAUACAUAAAGAGUCAUGAGAGUGUGAGAAUUGAGUCCCACCUCUUGGCGAGGAACCAAAGCUACCACACUGAAUGUCAAUACACAUAAACUUGCAAUUACAAUCAAACAUGUUGAACAACAGUAAUAAUAAAACAAAACAUUUUUGGAGCAUGUCCUAGUUAUAUAAUUAUGGCUCCCAAUCAAUUGCCGUUCCCUAACACUGCACCCAGUGCACAGCAGUGGCAUCUGAUUCCCAUUCCAGCUACCUGUACUCCCUCUGGUCUCAAUCCCACCAAUCAAGUACUGACCAAACUUUGCCGACCUUCAUCUCCGCCAUUUUCCUCGUCUUUCUGUACCUCUGGCUGGUCAAAAAAUCCAACAACCCGAACCCUCCGCUGCCACCCGGCCCACGGGCCCUGCCCUUGCUCGGGAACCUCCUCUCCCUCGACCCAGAACUCCACUCCUACUUCGCCGGCCUGGCUCAAUCAUACGGCCCCAUCUUCAAGCUCCGCCUCGGCAACAUCGUCGGCGUUGUAGUCACCUCCCCUUCCUCAGCUCGCGAGAUUCUCAAGGACCAAGACAUCACCUUCGCCAACCGCGACGUCCCCUCCGCGGGUCGGGUCGCGUCGUACAGGGGAUUCAACAUCGUGUGAACCCCGUACGGACCGGAGUGGCGGAUGCUGAGGAAAGUUUACGUGCUGAAAAUGCUCAGCAACACCACUCUUGACUCGGUGUACGCGCUCCAGGAGAAACAGCUCCGACGGACCGUCCGGUACUUCUACGAUCGGAUCGGAUCGCCGAUCAACGUGGGGGAGCAAAUGUUCCUGAACGUGAUGAAUGUUAUUACGAACAUGCUGUGGGGUGGGAUCAUGCAGGGAGACGAGAAGGCGGGGCUCGGGGCGGAGUUUCGGGAAGUGGUGUCGGAGAUGACGGAGCUUUUGGGGAAGCCGAAUGUUUCGGACUUUUAUCCGGGUUUGGCCAGGUUUGAUUUGCAAGGGGUGGUGAAGAAGAUGGGAUGGUAGGCCCGGAGGUUUGAUGGGAUAUUUGAGAAGAUAAUAGAUCAACGGCUGAGGAUUGACAAGGAAGGGGAGGAGGGGAAUAAGGAUUUUUUGACGUUUUUGUUGAAAUUAAAGAAGGAAGGAGGAGAUUCCAAGACGCCUUUCACCAUGACUCAUCUCAAAGCCUUGCUCAUGUGUGGUAGUACCGGGCUUGUAAACUACAGUGAUCCUGAUUUGCCAACAAGAUAAUCACAAUACUUCACAGUUUGAUCUCGUUCAUCUUUCCAGUUUUGAUUUUAUCUUUUCGAUGUUUAGUUCAUAACAACAAUAUUGUAUUGCAAUUAUCCUCUGAAUGAUGCAACCGAAACAGUCAACGAAAUUGGAUCAUCUAUCAAAAGAGUUAUGGGGGGGCACAAGUGGGAUCCUGUAUGAUAUAUUUGUAAGUCAGCCUACGCUCAAUUGAAAGCAAGCGCCCAAUCAGUUGUCACCUCAAAGAAUUGGGCUAAAGCGCUUGAAGCUUCCAUUGCUGCAUUCAGUAAAUAUGAUGGUAUAUUGUUGAAGAAAGGGGUGUAAAAAUAAAUCCACAUAUUGAAUUGGGUUUA